UACGAAGGGGGCUAGCGUUGCUCGGAAUCACUGGGCGUAAAGGGUGCGUAGGCGGGUCUUUUAAGUCAGGGGUGAAAUCCUGGAGCUCAACUCCAGAACUGCCUUUGAUACUGAAGAUCUUGAGUUCGGGAGAGGUGAGUGGAACUGGCGAGUGUAGAGGUGAAAUUCGUAGAUAUUCGCAAGAACACCAGUAGGCGAAGGCGCUCACUGGCCCGAUACGU
rnacentral:rRNA from 1 species